GAUGGACGCUGGCGGCGUGCUUAACACAUGCAAGUCGAACGGAAAGGCCGAAGCUUGCUUCGGUACUCGAGUGGCGAACGGGUGAGUAACACGUGGGUGAUCUGCCCUGUACUUCGGGAUAAGCUUGGGAAACUGGGUCUAAUACCGGAUAUGACGAUCUCUUGGAUGGGGUUGUGGAAAGCUUUUGCGGUAUGGGAUGAGCUCGCGGCCUAUCAGCUUGUUGGUGGGGUAAUGGCCUACCAAGGCGUCGACGGGUAGCCGGCCUGAGAGGGUGUACGGCCACAUUGGGACUGAGAUACGGCCCAGACUCCUACGGGAGGCAGCAGUGGGGAAUAUUGCACAAUGGGCGCAAGCCUGAUGCAGCGACGCCGCGUGGGGGAUGACGGCCUUCGGGUUGUAAACUCCUUUCGCAAUCGACGAAGCCUUUUGGUGACGGUAGGUUGAGAAGAAGCACCGGCUAACUACGUG
rnacentral:rRNA from 1 species